CCCUAGCGCUAUCUCCCUGCCUCCUGCCAGCUCCGUGGUUCUUGAGAGGACCAGGAGUGGGUGGGGAGUGGGAGUGGGGGUAGGGUUUCCCUACUUCACCCUUGUGAAUCAAGGGUCAGGUCUUUGAGCUCAGAAAACAUGCCUCCUGUUGGGAGAGGGCGCAGGCCGUGAUGGCUGGGUGGCCCUUCUGACUGCCAAGACUGCUGUGGCUGUGGCCAGGAGGUGCCACUGGAGUGUGUGUGGUGGUCCCUGGGUAGCGGGGGACGGCAGGCAGGGCUGGGGAAGACAGCCUGCAGGGUCCCACCAGGCAGCCUCUGGGGCGUGGCCAGACCAGGAAAAAAGCCCACCAUUUGGCAUCCCUGGGUCUUGGGCUAGGUGUGGGAGACCAGCCUGCCAGGAGGACCCAGGGCUCUGUAAGUAGAUGCAUUUGGGUCCACGGGGAAGCAUGGACGCCUGGGAGGGAAGAGAUGAAAAACCACAUCCUACCAAGAGGAGGUGCUGAGGGAUGCUUUGCAGUGUUGUCAAGUGCUGGGCCAGAGGGAGACAGCACUCCACCGCCUGCCACAAAGGACAGGACCUGGCUGCCCUGAGUCUGUCUCUCUGCUCCCCUCAGGUUGUCGUAAGCCAACACAGGGGCCUGGAGAAUCCUGAGGAGCUUUCCUUUGGGUUCCAAACCGGGCCUUGACGUUCCUUCUCCCGUUUUUACAUUGCUGUCUUGUGGACUGUGCACUCAGUCCUUGCAAGGCCAGGAGUCCAGUUGUAAGUGGGGCCUUGAGGGGGAAUUGGGAAGGAGAAGACCGACAUGAGGCCUCUGCACGGAUCCGUCUCUCCCUCCCCAUCACCCCUUCCUUCUGACACCCAGUCCCACCUGCAGUCACUAUUGUGCCCCUCCUUGGGGCAGGCUGGCUGGGGGCCAGGAAGGGGCCAUGAGGCUGCCUUGGGCCCAAGAAGGGACAAUAAGGCCAGUUGUAUGCUUCCUGUUUCUCAUAGCUUGCCUUGGUCGAGAUGUCUUUGUUGGAAUUGAGUCUAAGCUGCUGUGAUUAAGAGACCCUGAAAUACAGUGGUUUAAGCAAGACAGAAGCUUGUUUCUAAUUAGUCUAGAUUGAGAUGGCCCAGAGCUGGUAGGGCAGCUCUGUGUUUCUUCAUACGCACCUUCCAAUUUUGGGUACACAGUGGCUGCUCCAGCGCCAACCCUCCUGUGAGCAUCCAAGCCUGAGGGAAGCAGAAAUAGGCAAGAGGGGCACACCCACUUUUUGCUAAGGGCAUGAGCCAGAAUUGGCAGGCUCACCUCUGCUGGCCUCUCAUUGGCUGGGUCUCAGCCACAUGGCCACAAGCAGCUGCAAGGGAACCUGGGAAGUGUAGUCUUCAGUGUGGCCGCCAUGUGUCUGGCCUCACCUUGGGAGUUCUCUUAUUGAUAAAGAAGAAGAGAAUGGAUAUGGGGGACCAGUAGCAUCUCUGGGAGAGGGGGAGGGGGCAGCAAUAAUUCAGUCGUCAGAUCCAGCUCUCAUUCAGAGUUUCCGGAAUAGCUUGUUCCUGUUCCCCUCACUGUGCAGCCCAGGGUGGGGGGCAGUGAGGAGCCUGCAGCUCUGUGGGAAGGGGAAACGCCCCCUCCCCUCGGCCCCUCAAAGGCUACCCAAUGAGGCUGGUUUGCAGAGCUGGCCUGUGGAAUGGCUCAUGUUUGUGCGUGUGUGUGUGUAUAUUUAUGGGCAUGGGUGCAUGCUUGGUGUGUAUUUGUACAUGUCUGUAUUGCUGUGUCCCUGUAAAUACAUGCUUGUGUGUGGAUGGGGGAGGCCAGGCCCAGGUGUCCUUCGUCAGGCCUGUGGCCACACCUCCUGCAGCUCCCCAAAAUGACUGAGGCGGAAAGCCCUUGGGGAGCCUAGAAAGCAAAGCUAAAGGGGAUGCAGGGUCUGUCCGUCUGUCUGUCUUUCAGUCUGAGGAAUGAGAAUCCUCCUGACCUGAGGGCUGUGCAGCUGAGAGCCCACUACCUCCCCAGCCCCUCUCAGCCCCAGCCACAUGAUCCCACCCGUCCCCUCCCCAACCUCCAGUGGGGCCAUCUCCGGUUGUCUUAUUGUUGGGGGUUUCCUGAUGGGCCAGAAGAGGAGGGCAUCUCCUUGCCACAGCUCUGUCUGGGUUAAGUGCCCAGUGAGGGCAUGGUGUGGGGGGCUGGCCUCAGAGCAGCCACUGGUGGGCAAGCGUGAAGUGGGCUGAGGGGCUCUGAGCCACUUCACUCCCAUCUAGGGGACUGCCCCCAUGGAACUCCUUUGAAGUCACAGCAGCCUUCCUUUCUGUUUCCUCUUGGGGCCGAGAGGUGGCUCAAGAAGUCAGGGUCCCUGUGCUCUGGGUCAAUCCAGGCCAGGCUGCAUCCCACAGACAGGGAGUCUCACGGCUCCUGAUCAUGCCCAGGCUCUAGCCUGGGGCCUCCCUCCUUGGCAGCUUCCUCACCCCACGCCCCUGGCACCCUCAGUUGCUGUGGGGAUGCCCCUCCAGGGCACCAGCUCAGGGCUAAGGGAAGGAAGACAGGAGCAGCUCAGAGCUGCCAGGCCCUGCCUUCCUCACAGACCUGGUGGGGCAGGGCCUGUUCACAGCAGCAGGAGUGAAGGCCUGGCCAUCGGUGGAGAGGACAGCUGUUAGAGGGGUGGAGGCCAGGGCGCGGGGUUGAAGAGUUUCACAUAUCAUCACAGCAUACACUGGGAAUCUGGUGGAGGUAGAGGAACCCAGGGCCACUCCCUCAGUACAAAGGGAAACCAAGCUGAAUGUGACCACUGCUGCCAUGUCCCAUGUCCACGCUUCUCCCCGGGAAUAACUGGCCCUGAGACCCCUAGACCCAAGGAGGCCUGUCCAUGCCAAGCAUCCAGGAAGCAUGGCCGGCCCUGUCCACCCAUGGGUCACGUUGGUUCCCAGGGGCAGCAUGGGAGAGCUUUGGGGGCAAGAGGGAGAGUCCGGGUGGGGAGACAGGACUUGCCCAAGCAGAAGGCAGGACCCUGGGAAAUGUAUAAUUUAAGGACAUCAAUAAUAGUAUUAUUUUUUUUUUUGUAAGGGAAAAUCAAUAUGUACAUUCUGAAAUCAUUUUCUCUGUAAAUGGUUGGAUUUCAUUUCACCCUUAAAGGGAUGCUUAAAGGAGAAGAUAAUAUUAAUAAUAAAAACAGCUACAAAGUC
rnacentral:lncRNA from 1 species